rnacentral:tRNA from 1 species
GGGUAGGUGGCCGAGUGGUUAAAGGCGGCAGACUGUAAAUCUGUUCCGAAAGGUACGGUGGUUCGAAUCCACCCCUGCCCACCA